AAUAAAUAGAGAAUAUCAUGUGGCUUUUUCAAUAUCACAUCCGUAUCAACCCGAGACACCAAUAUAAUCCCAAGAGCUCUGCUCGAGGGAUUAUAUUGGUUGAGGGUUGAUAUGGUGUGUGAUAUUGAAAAAGCCAUAUCAUAUACACUUUAUUAUAUACAUAUACCUCAAGUAGAUGUUUUUUAUGUAACAUGACGUCAUACAGAUUAUAGGUUUGACAUGACGUCAUACAGAUUAGGGAUUUGAAAGCCUUUGCAACACAGUGACUGCAAUCGAUGACGUGACGUCAUACAGAUUAAAGGUGUGAUAAAGCUUUUGCAACCGUGCUGAUAUCGAUAUCAUCACGGGUGGCUGAUACAGCACGCUUG
rnacentral:lncRNA from 1 species